rnacentral:rRNA from 1 species
UACGGAGGGGGCUAGCGUUGUUCGGAAUUACUGGGCGUAAAGCGCACGUAGGCGGAUCGGAAAGUUGGGGGUGAAAUCCCGGGGCUCAACCCCGGAACUGCCUUCAAAACUACUGGUCUUGAGUUCGAGAGAGGUGAGUGGAAUUCCGAGUGUAGAGGUGAAAUUCGUAGAUAUUCGGAGGAACACCAGUGGCGAAGGCGGCUCACUGGCUCGAUACUGACGCUGAGGUGCGAAAGCGUGGGGAGCAAACAGG